AUUGAACGCUGGCGGCAUGCCUUACACAUGCAAGUCGAACGGCAGCACGGAGCUUGCUCUGGUGGCGAGUGGCGAACGGGUGAGUAAUAUAUCGGAACGUACCCUGGAGUGGGGGAUAACGUAGCGAAAGUUACGCUAAUACCGCAUACGAUCUAAGGAUGAAAGUGGGGGACUCGCAAGAGCCUCAUGCUCGUGGAGCGGCCGAUAUCUGAUUAGCUAGUUGGUAGGGUAAAAGCCUACCAAGGCAUCGAUCAGUAGCUGGUCUGAGAGGACGACCAGCCACACUGGAACUGAGACACGGUCCAGACUCCUACGGGAGGCAGCAGUGGGGAAUUUUGGACAAUGGGCGAAAGCCUGAUCCAGCAAUGCCGCGUGAGUGAAGAAGGCCUUCGGGUUGUAAAGCUCUUUUGUCAGGGAAGAAACGGCGGUUUCUAAUACAGAUCGCUAAUGACGGUACCUGAAGAAUAAGCACCGGCUAACUACGUGC
rnacentral:rRNA from 1 species